GCUGGGUGUGGUGGCACAUGCCUGUAGUCCCAGCUACUCGGGAGGCUGAGGUGGGAGGAUUGCUUGAGUCCAGGAGUUCUGGGCUGCACUGCGCUAUGCCGAUCGGGUGUCCGCACUAAGUUCGGCAUCAAUAUGGUGACCUCCUGGGAGCGGGGGACCACCAGGUUGCCUUCGGAGGGGUGAACUGGCCCAGGUUGGAAAUGAAGCAGGCCAAAACUCCCGUGCUGAUCAAAUACAAAUUUCUUCAGUAUUACAAUAGAAACAUCAAAAGGUAAAAUAUAACAGAAAUUCUUCCUUU
ensembl:misc_RNA Metazoa_SRP Metazoan signal recognition particle RNA